rnacentral:lncRNA from 1 species
CCCCACCCACUCAGUUACUCCGCUCUGCCGGCUACACGCAUAGUGUCGCUUCGCCUCCAGUUAGGGCUGGACAAAAUACUCGUGGCUCGUGAGCUCGCUCGACUCGUGGUCAGCUCGGCUCGGCUCGACUCGGCUCGUUUCAAUUUUAUCACGAGCUGAGCUAACAUCUCAGCUCGGUUCGUUAACGAGCCAGCUCGACACGAGCUCGAGCCAGCUCGUUAGCUCGAAUGAGCUAGCAUUUAUCUAUAAAACAAAGCAUAUACUUGUAUUGGAUGAAUUAAUAAGUGACGAACUAUGUUUGUUUAGGGUUUAAAUGAUGUGAUAUAUAAAAUUAUGAGUAUUGUUAGUAUUUUCUAGUGUUAAAUUAGUAUAAAAUUAACUAGCAAUUGAUUAUAUUGUUGUAUAUAUACAUGUAUACUAUUUUUUGUUGUGGCUCGCGAGCUAAACGAGCCAGCUCGAGCUCGCAAACGAGCCGAGCCGAGCUGGUUCUCUGACUCGGUUCCUUAACGAGUCGAGCCGAGCCAGCUCGUUUUCUUAACGAGCCAGCUCGAGCUCGGUCGAGCCGAGCCGAGCUGGCUCGAUAUCCACCCCUACCUCCAGUCCACCCUCCUGUUAUCAGAGCGUUCGUGUCGUCUCGUGGAGGCCAGAUCUGCAAGUCUACGCCAGGCGGUGGAGCCAGAAGCCAGUUCCGCGAGCUCUCCUUCCCCCUUCGCCGAAUAAGCACGGCAAGCUCACUGGAUCCCUUUGAUGCAUAAAUUACCUAUG